AAAAGAACUUUGGAGAGAGAGUCAAAAAGACCGCGAAACCGUUAGGAGGGAAACGAAUGCAGCUGAAGUGGCUCCUCGUCAGGCUCAGGAGACGUCGCGUGGGUCCCGACCGGCCCUCCGACAACUCUGCACUUCUGCGGGGAGCCGGCCAACGGCAGUCGUCUCCGGCCCAGGAGGGCGCCGGGGCAGGUGGCUCUGCGCUCGCGCGGAGAACUUAUAGCCCGGCGUCUGGACGUUCCGGAGGCGACUGAGGAGUGUUGCGAGUCUUCGCACGUUGCAGCGCAGGCCUCCCCCGAGGCUGGGCCGCUCUCGUCGGGCAGGCAGCCGAGGCGGUCACUGCUCCGUCAGUGGCAGUCGACGGACUCGCAGGCCGGGCGGGAGGCCGGUCGCACCUUGCGCUGCGGUCGUUGGUGCCCGGAUGGCUGCAUCCGACCCGUCUUG
rnacentral:sRNA from 1 species